rnacentral:rRNA from 1 species
GAUGAACGCUGGCGGCGUGCUUAACACAUGCAAGUCGAACGAAGCACUUAAAUGAGAUUUCUUCGGAUUGAUUAUUUUGUGACUGAGUGGCGGACGGGUGAGUAACGCGUGGGUAACCUGCCCCAGACCGGGGGAUAACAGUCGGAAACGACUGCUAAUACCGCAUAAGCGCACAGUGCCGCAUGGCACGGUGUGAAAAACUCCGGUGGUCUGGGAUGGACCCGCGUCCGAUUAGUUAGUUGGCGGGGUAACGGCCCACCAAGACCGCGAUCGGUAGCCGACCUGAGAGGGUGACCGGCCACAUUGGGACUGAGACACGGCCCAGACUCCUACGGGAGGCAGCAGUGGGAAUAUUGCACAAUGGAGGAAACUCUGAUGCAGCGACGCCGCGUGAGCGAAGAAGUAUUUCGGUAUGUAAAACUCUAUCAGCAGGGAAGAUAAUGACGGUACCUGACUAAGAAGCACCGGCUAAAUACGUGCCAGC